rnacentral:rRNA from 1 species
AUUGAACGCUGGCGGCAGGCCUAACACAUGCAAGUCGAACGAGUGGCGGACGGGUGAGUAAUGUCUGGGAAACUGCCUGAUGGAGGGGGCUAAAUACUGGAAACGGUAGCUCAUACCGCAUACCAUCAGAUGUGCCCAGAUGGGCUGUGCGAGUUGGUGGGGUAACGGCUCACGAAGGCGACGAGCCCUAGCUGGUCUGCGAGGAUGACCAGCCAAACUGGAACUGAGACACGUUCCAGACGCCUCCGGGAGGCAUCAGUGGGGAAUAUUGCACAAGGGUCGCAAGCCUGAUUCAGCCAUGCCGCGUGGAUGAAGAAGGCUUUCGGGUUGUAAAGUACUUUCAUCGGGGAGGCGUUACCCGCAGAAGAAGCACCGGCUAACUCCGUGUCAGCAGCCGCGGUAAUUC